rnacentral:rRNA from 1 species
GAUGAACGCUAGCGGGAGGCCUAACACAUGCAAGUCGAACGGGAUUGGUAGCAAUACCAUGAGAGUGGCGCACAGGUGAGUAACGCGUAUGCAACCUGCCUUUAACUGAGGGAUAGCCCAUAGAAAUGUGGAUUAAUACCUCAUAGUUCUGAGAAGCUGCAUGGUUUUUCAGUUAAAGCUCCGGCGGUUAAAGAUGGGCAUGCGUGACAUUAGCUAGUUGGUAAGGUAACGGCUUACCAAGGCUACGAUGUCUAGGGGUUCUGAGAGGAUGAUCCCCCACACUGGUACUGAGACACUGACCAGACUCCUACGGGAGGCAGCAGUUAGGAAUAUUGGUCAAUGGGCGCAAGCCUGAACCAGCCAUCCCGCGUGCAGGAUGACGGCCCUAUGUGUUGUAAACUUCUUUUAUGCAGGAAAAAUAUCCCGGUCGUGAACCGGGACUGAUGGUACUGUAUGAAUAAGCAUCGGCUAACUCCGUGCCAGCAGCCGCGGUAACAC